rnacentral:rRNA from 1 species
GAAAUCACAGGAAUCAUUUAUAUGAUGAUGAGAUAACGUAAGGGAAAAAACUGAUAUUACCUUACUAUUAGUGUUGUCCAAAACUGGUGCCAGAAGACUCGGUAAGGCCAGAGACGCAAACGUUAGUCGUCCUAAUCAGGCGUAAAGGGUGUGUAGGCGGCUUUAAACAUUUUAUUUUCUUUUUUUAAAUAAAAAGCCAAAAGAACAAAUUAAAAGAAAGUGUAGAUAUUAUACUUAAAUCUUAUAAUAAUCUCAAAAUAUUAUUAAUUGAAGCUAGAAUCUAAUUGAAGAUAAUCAAAAUAAUACUUAGGGUAGGGCCGAUAUCCGUAGAUUCUAAGGGGAAUACUAACGGCGAAAGCUUUUUAUCUAUUAAAGAUUGACGCUGAGAAACGAAGGUGAGAAUAGGAAAUAGGAUUAGAUACCCAGAUACCUCUCACUGUCAACGAUGAAUGGUGGUUGUUAGUUUUAUAAAAACUGGUAACGAGGUUAACACGAUGACCAUUCCGCCUUGCGAGUACGGUUGCAAAACUGAAACCAAAAAAAUUAGUCGGUCU